GAUGAACGCUGGCGGCGUGCCUAAUACAUGCAAGUCGAGCGAACAGACGAGGAUCUUGCUCCUCUGACGUUAGCGGCGGACGGGUGAGUAACACGUGGAUAACCUACCUAUAAGACUGGGAUAACUUCGGGAAACCGGAGCUAAUACCGGAUAAUAUAUUGAACCGCAUGGUUCAAUAGUGAAAGACGGUUUUGCUGUCACUUAUAGAUGGAUCCGCGCGGCAUUAGCUAGUUGGUAAGGUACGGCUUACCAAGGCAACGAUGCGUAGCCGACCUGAGAGGGUGAUCGGCCACACUGGAACUGAGACACGGUCCAGACUCCUACGGGAGGCAGCAGUAGGGAAUCUUCCGCAAUGGGCGAAAGCCUGACGGAGCAACGCCGCGUGAGUGAUGAAGGUCUUCGGAUCGUAAAACUCUGUUAUUAGGGAAGAACAAAUGUGUAAGUAACUAUGCACGUCUUGACGGUACCUAAUCAGAAAGCCACGGCUAACUACGUG
rnacentral:rRNA from 1 species